UUCAAGGAUCUUAUAGCCCCGAACCUGACCAGCACUCAGCAUCAACACACUCGUCUGGUGACCUCAUUUCAUCAUCUCCUAAAGCAGGAAGUACGACAUCAGAGGCGGGAGCAGGCUGGGCAUGCUGGAAAAAAGCAGGAGAAACGCAGACGUGACAGGAGCAGGCUGACCUAAGGAACCCUCCUUCGAGGCCAUUGAAGAAAGUAACCUGAGGCUCACAUGGCCUCCUCCAGCGGCAGGGCCUGGCCUCCAGCAGCCCCUCACGGCUUCCUUUCCACACCCA